rnacentral:rRNA from 1 species
AGUCGAGGGGUAGAACACUUCGGUGUUUGAGACCGGCGCACGGGUGCGUAACGCGUAUGCAAUCUACCUUUUACAGGGGAAUAGCCCAGAGAAAUUUGGAUUAAUGCCCCAUAGUAUAAUUGAAUGGCAUCAUUUGAUUAUUAAAGUUCCAACGGUAAAAGAUGAGCAUGCGUCCCAUUAGUUAGUUGGUAAGGUAACGGCUUACCAAGACGAUGAUGGGUAGGGGUCCUGAGAGGGAGAUCCCCCACACUGGUACUGAGACACGGACCAGACUCCUACGGGAGGCAGCAGUGAGGAAUAUUGGACAAUGGGCGCAAGCCUGAUCCAGCCAUGCCGCGUGCAGGAAGAAGCAUCUAUGGUGUGUAAACUGCUUUUGUACGGGAAGAAACACUCCUUCGUGAAGGAGCUUGACGGUACCGUAAGAAUAAGGAUCGGCUAACUCCGUGCCAGCAGCCGCGGUAAUACGGAGGAUCCAAGCGUUAUCCGGAAUCAUUGGGUUUAAAGGGUCCGUAGGCGGUUUAAUAAGUCAGUGGUGAAAUCUGGUCGCUCAACGAUCAAACGGCCAUUGAUACUGUUAGACUUGAAUUACAAGGAAGUAACUAGAAUAUGUAGUGUAGCGGUGAAAUGCUUAGAUAUUACAUGGAAUACCAAUUGCGAAGGCAGGUUACUACUUGUGGAUUGACGCUGAUGGACGAAAGCGUGGGGAGCGAACAGGAUUAGAUACCCUGGUAGUCCACGCCGUAAACGAUGGAUACUAGCUGUUGGGAGUAAUCUCAGUGGCUAAGCGAAAGUGAUAAGUAUCCCACCUGGGGGAGUACGUUCGCAGAAUGAAACUC